GCAAUGGUGAAUGGGAGAGUUUCCUUAAUUUCUCUUUCUGUUCUUCCUAAUUGUGCCUUUUCUAAUAGCUAAUGGAAAGAUUGUUCUCAAUAAGCUAAUGGAUGGAGUAAAAGCUAUUAUAGGGGAGGACAUUGAUAUCUGUGACACAGAAGAUAUUCUGGAAAACAUGGGGAUAGAAUUUACAGAUGAGGAACGCUUGGAGCCGUUAAAAAAGUAACCGGUUGAUGCUGAUGGAAAAAUCUAUCAGAACAGAUUGCUGGAAGGUAUAAAGACUCUUAGAGGAGGGGAAAUUGAUGUUAGUAAACUGGACACAGUUCUGGGAAGCAUGGGGAUGAACCUCACCGAAAAGGAACUUGAAGAUCUGACACAGAGCCUGCCAGUUGAUGUUGUUGGGAAAGUUGAUAUGAAAAAGGUAAUGGAUGACGUGAAAGCUUUCACAGGUGAAAAGAUCGAUAUCAACAACCUGGACAAUGUGCUGAGUAAUAAGGGAACUGAACUUCCAGACACAGAAUAUACAGAGCUGGUGAAAACACUGCCAG